GACAUGUAAAAUUUUAAGUUGCCCACGUGGGCCGGUGGCAAUUUUUUUGACCCGGACUACUUAAGCCCACGAUCCACACCCAUCUAACCCUAAUCCCCUUUCUCUCCUCCGUUCCCUCCGCCGCCACAGCUGCCCGCGCCCGAUUUCGGCGAUUGCAGCGGCUAUUGCUGGCGCGGAGCACCCCACUGAGCUCGCUUCGCUCGGGUCCAUCCUCCCCUCCGCAAGAUUUCCCCCUCCCGGCUUCUACCGCUCGCCAAAAAUCCAGUCCCGUGCUAGGGUUUUCUACUCCAGCACACCCUUCAUCGUCGGCGCAUCUCCGGCGGCCUCUGGCAGCUCUUAUUCGUCGUCUACGGCGCCCGCAGUUGUCAGUCCACCUCGAGCAGGUCGGCGUGGAGGAUCUCCUCCCGCAGGUUCCAUGGACAUGGCGCACCCUGCAGUUGCUGGUCUGGGACGAGGGCGGGCAUGGCGAGCCUUGUCUUGCUCAACGAUGAUGCCGGCGAACGCCGGUGCUCCUCCUGGUCGACCUCUAAGGAGGAGCGCCAGUACAGCAUCAGCACGCCCUGCGGCUGAACCCCCCUUCUCCACCCAUCCAGUGGCGUACAGGAUGUCAGCAAGUCCAACACCCCCUUAGCCCUACGGCCCUGCCUCCUGUCCUCUAGCUCCAACAGUUUUUAUUUACCGUUAAGGUACAUGAAUCACUCGUGGAAAUAUUCUGAUAUUUAUGUACUGACUUGGUUCUUGGGCAGGAGGAGUUAGUGCAGAAUCAAUAUCAGAACCAUCAAAAGUUCAGGAUUGGACGUGGUGUUAUUUUGUUCCAGUUUCUAGACAGAGCCAUAUAUGUACGUAUAUCUAUGUUAUAUGCAGUAUGCUGGUACAUAUAUCUAUGUUAUAUGCAGUAUGCUGGUAUGUUCAAAUCAUCGUUCCAAUCCAUAUAUACCACAUUAAAAAUGUAUUACAGGCAUCGACAGUAUUCCAUCUCAAUGCAAGCACAAUGUCUCUCCCUUUGUCAGCUUGACAAACUGCACUUUUCAGUAUCUCUGCUGCUUAGAGCUCUAAGAAGCUUGAUUUUUGUGUAAAAAAUUAAUUCUUCGUGGUUUUAUCCAAAAUUUACAUCUCUUCAAAAGCUUAGCAUAUAUAAGAAUAGGAGUUUUAUGUUACUUCCAUGUUUACAUCAUGAAUGCCAUGGUUUUGAACAUUUUCAGCUGUAUUUGGUAGUGCGAGGUUAGUUGUCCUCCUAUAAAGCUAACAAGCUGUUUAUUGUGCAUGAACUCUUUCUGGUGAACAUUAGGUGAAAAAUGACCAAGCAAGAACAUAUCCAUGAAUUGAGUUACUUAUUCCAUGUAUUCGGGCCUAUUUUUUAUCUUUUUUAGAACAAGACAGUGCAUUCAUGUAUCAGCUACAUGGCAAAAUGUCGUGCUAUCGUUUCUGGAUAAAUGGUGCUUAGGUGGUGUAUAGUCAGUUCCCUUCACUCUCCCUCUCCCAGUUUUACAUUCUUUCCCCAUCUUUUUAUUUCAAAUUGAGACAUUUAUGUCAGUUUUCUGUUCAUUUGCUACAUAACAGUCGAAGGUAGGAGUCGAAGGUAGGAGUUUGUGGUUCUGUGAUUGUAGUUGUAUAUGAUGAUUUGCACCAUGUGUUUUCUUAAACUGUAGAAACUCUCUUACAAAAACUGUGUAUACAGGAGGGGCACAACUCAACUAAAUAGUUCAUUUAGAUGCCUAGUAGAGAGAUAAUAGGGUCCCAACAGCAAUACAAUAUAGUCUGAGUUGUUUUUAAGAUAACUCGGACACCAGUUGGCAGGUUAUGAUAACCGUCUCUUAGAGGCUGAUUUUUUACUAAUAGUUAUUGCUCAUUCAGAAGGGGAGCAUGACUCCACCAAUGGACAUGCACCUUUCCGUCCUUGAAAUUUAAACGCUCGACAUUCUUGUAUUUUUCAUGUAUGUCGUAGUGGAGUCAAAUAUGGCCUCUUUUGUUAGGAAAUUAUAUCUUCGGAUAUUUUGGGUACAUUCCUUGAAUUUUUGCAUCCCAAUCUCUCAGUAAUACUCCUUCAUUAUGUUUCUAAAUGUAUUUUGUUUGUUCUAGAAUAAAUCAUAUACUGCAUUUUGCAUCAUUUAAAUGCGCUGGUUCUGAUCAUAUCUCCACUUUUGUCCUGUAUGUUUUGCGAAAUGGAGUAAUUAACUUGAAUUGUUAAUGCGAUUCAGAUCUUUGGCAUGUACAGUUCAUAUAGCUAAUGCCUCCCUACAAAUGACUUUGACCCCACUACAACUGUUCAAAGUUUACAUGCAUAUUGUUUAUGUUGGGUUCACUUCAUAUAGGAGCAAAAUCUGAGAAGUUGUUGCGUUCAGGUUUAUGUGAGUUCUUGCUAUGGCUCCACUUCAACGCUGUUUAGUUGUAAUAUCACGCCUUUGAACGACUUUUUCAUAAUACUUCUGUUGUUACGCAACCUUAGCUGGGCUGCAUUUCUUAUCUGAGUUGUAGUGGAACUUUUUAUGUCAAAUAAGCACAACGGAGUUUAGUUCUUUUCUCCCUACCAACUCUAUUGAUCUAUCACAGUUAAUCAUUACUUUUUGUUGUCGCUGGUUGUUUCUUUCACAUGUUCAGUUAAGUUUGUUGCACUAGUUUGCAUCCUGGGAGUGAAAAAAAUAUCGUGAUAAUGUGUAAGCUACUUCUAGUUUUACCUACUGGCUAUUACAUUUUAUAAUGUGACGUAAUUUUCAUAAUGUGGCAGAUAUUGGUUUAUGGGAGCAGUUUCAACCACAACGACAUGCAUUUUGAUGACUUCGGUGUGCAGCCAGAAACAUGGGAUCACCCAUAGUUGCUGUUUGAUGAGAGUUGGCCUUGCUGAUUUGGGUGGUACUGCCUGGAGAGUAGCAUAGUGUUCUUUGAGACAUGCUUGUAAAAUUAGUGUUUUCUGGGUCUUCCUUUUGCUCCUGUACUAAUAUAUUUUUGGUGUAUAUUUGUAAUUUUCUUUUUUUAGUGAAAUGAGCAUAUAUUUUUCGGCAAACUCUUAAUAGCCUGAAAUUUCCAUGGACCAAGAGAAAUGACUGAUGGGCUGAU
rnacentral:rRNA from 1 species